CACUCCUGCGGGAGGCAGCAGUGGGGAAUUUUGGACAAUGGGCGAAAGCCUGAUCCAGCAAUGCCGCGUGAGUGAAGAAGGCCUUCGGGUUGUAAAGCUCUUUUGUCAGGGAAGAAACGGUGAAAGCUAAUAUCUUUUGCUAAUGACGGUACCUGAAGAAUAAGCACCGGCUAACUACGUGCCAGCAGCCGCGGUAAUACGUAGGGUGCAAGCGUUAAUCGGAAUUACUGGGCGUAAAGCGUGCGCAGGCGGUUUUGUAAGUCUGAUGUGAAAUCCCCGGGCUCAACCUGGGAAUUGCAUUGGAGACUGCAAGGCUAGAAUCUGGCAGAGGGGGGUAGAAUUCCACGUGUAGCAGUGAAAUGCGUAGAUAUGUGGAGGAACACCGAUGGCGAAGGCAGCCCCCUGGGUCAAGAUUGACGCUCAUGCACGAAAGCGUGGGGAGCAAACAGGAUUAGAAACCCCUGUAGUCCCAU
rnacentral:rRNA from 1 species